AACGAACGCUGGCGGCAGGCCUAACACAUGCAAGUCGAGCGCGCCCUUCGGGGUGAGCGGCGGACGGGUGAGUAACGCGUGGGAACGUGCCCUUCUCUGCGGAAUAGCCUCGGGAAACUGAGAGUAAUACCGCAUACGCCCUUUGGGGGAAAGAUUUAUCGGAGAAGGAUCGGCCCGCGUUGGAUUAGGUAGUUGGUGGGGUAAUGGCCCACCAAGCCGACGAUCCAUAGCUGGUUUGAGAGGAUGAUCAGCCACACCGGGACUGAGACACGGCCCAGCCUCCUACGGGAGGCAGCAGUGGGGAAUCUUAGACAAUGGGGGCAACCCUGAUCUAGCCAUGCCGCGUGAGUGAUGAAGGCCUUAGGGUUGUAAAGCUCUUUCAGCUGGGAAGAUAAUGACGGUACCAGCAGAAGAAGCCCCGGCUAACUCCGUG
rnacentral:rRNA from 1 species